rnacentral:tRNA from 1 species
CACUUAGCUCAGUUGGUAGAGCAUGAGACUCUUGAUCUCAGGGUUGUGGGUUCAAGACCCAUGUGGGUGA